ACCGAGUCUCAAAGCUGUGGCCACUCUC
rnacentral:sRNA from 1 species